GUGCAAUUAUCACACGGGUUUGAUGUAUUCCGAUGGAACCUACAUAGGAAUGGACAGUUCUCUGUAGAGUCUAUGUAUAGAGCGUUAAUUCAGUCUGAUGUGCCAGUUGAUAAUAACAAAAAGAUCUGGAAGAUGAAGAUACCGCUUAAGAAUAAAAUCUUCGCAUGGUACCUUCGUCGUGGAGUCAUUCUUACUAAAGAUAACCUUAUUAAGAGGAAUUGGCAUGGAAGUCCGUAGUGUGUCUUUUGUCACCAUGAUGAGACAAUAAAACAUUUAUUCUUUCAAUGCAAAUUGGCUCGUUCUAUUUGGUCAGUCAUCCAAAUAGCUUUUGACUUGUAUCCUCCUUGUAGUGUUGCUAAUGUAUUUGGCAACUGGCUACAUGGAAUUGAUCACAGGUUUAGAACCCUUCUCAGAGUGGAAGCGCUUGCCGUUAUUUGGUCGCUUUGGCUCUGUAGAAAUGAUAAGGUUUUUAACGAUAAAAGUACUUCUCUUAUGCAGGUUAUCUACAGAUGUACCAGGACUCUUCGUUUAUGGUCCUCUCUACAACGUGUGGAGAAUCGCGAUCUGUUUAUGGAGGUGUGUACACGAUUGGAGGCUACGGCGAGGGAUACUUUUACCCAACAUGGGUGGCAGCAUGAUCUUAGGAUUGGCCUCCCUCCGCUUUAG
rnacentral:rRNA from 1 species